AGCUCAAUGAUUUCAACCAGGUACUCUGGUUAUAUACGCUAUUCUGAUUGCCGCUGUUGAAAAAAAAUAAUAUUAUUCAUGAGAGCU
rnacentral:snoRNA from 1 species